rnacentral:rRNA from 1 species
CUCAGUACGAGCCAAAUUAAGGUGAAACCGCGAAAGGCUCAUUAAAUCAGUUAUGGUUCCUUAGAUCGUACCCACACUUACUUGGAUAACUGUGGUAAUUCUAGAGCUAAUACAUGCAAACAGAGCUCCGACCGGAGACGGAAGGAGCGCUUUUAUUAGAUCAAAACCAAUCGGUGUCGGGUUCGCGCCCGUCAUCGUACUUUCUGGUGACACUGAAUAACUUACUGCUGAUCGCACGGUCUCGCACCGGCGACGCAUCUUUCAAAUGUCUGCCUUAUCAACUGUCGAUGGUAGGUUCUGCGCCUACCAUGGUUGUAACGGGUAACGGGGAAUCAGGGUUCGAUUCCGGAGAGGGAGCCUGAGAAACGGCUACCACAUCCAAGGAAGGCAGCAGGCGCGCAAAUUACCCACUCCCGGCACGGGGAGGUAGUGACGAAAAAUAACGAUACGGGACUCAUCCGAGGCCCCGUAAUCGGAAUGAGUACACUCUAAAUCCUUUAACGAGGAUCAAUUGGAGGGCAAGUCUGGUGCCAGCAGCCGCGGUAAUUCCAGCUCCAAUAGCGUAUAUUAAAGUUGUUGCGGUUAAAAAGCUCGUAGUCGAAUUUGUGUCCCGCGCCGCCGGUUCAUCGCUCGCGGUGCUUAACUGGCGUGUCCGCGGGACGUCCUGCCGGUGGGCCCAGUCCCUCGCGGGGCGGCCCAACUUCAGAUCCCACCGCGGUGCUCUUCACUGAGUGUCGAGGUGGGCCGGCACGUUUACUUUGAACAAAUUAGAGUGCUUAAAGCAGGCUAAAAUUUCGCCUGAAUAUUGUGUGCAUGGAAUAAUGGAAUAGGACCUCGGUUCUAUUUUGUUGGUUUUCGGAACCCCGAGGUAAUGAUUAAUAGGAACGGAUGGGGGCAUUCGUAUUGCGACGUUAGAGGUGAAAUUCUUGGAUCGUCGCAAGACGGACAGAAGCGAAAGCAUUUGCCU